rnacentral:rRNA from 1 species
CCUACGGGAGGCAGCAGUGAGGAAUAUUGGUCAAUGGGCGGAAGCCUGAACCAGCCAAGUCGCGUGAGGGAUUAAGGCCCUGCGGGUCGUAAACCUCUUUUGCCGGGGAGCAGAGGUCCGGACGUGUCCGGGCCGGGAGAGUACCCGGAGAAAAAGCAUCGGCUAACUCCGUGCCAGCAGCCGCGGUAAUACGGAGGAUGCGAGCGUUAUCCGGAUUUAUUGGGUUAAAGGGGUGCGUAGGCGGGCAUUUAAGCCGGCGGUCAAAUGUCGGGGUUCAACCCCGGCCUGCCGUCGGAACUGGGUGCCUUGAGUGGGCGAGAAGUAGGCGGAAUGCGUGGUGUAGCGGUGAAAUGCAUAGAUAUGACGCAGAACCCCGAUUGCGAAGGCAGCAUGCCGGCGCCCUACUGACGCUGAGGCACGAAAGUGCGGGUAUCGAACAGGAUUAGAUACCCUGGUAGUC